rnacentral:rRNA from 1 species
UACGUAGGGCGCAAGCGUUAUCCGGAAUUAUUGGGCGUAAAGAGCUCGUAGGCGGUUUGUCGCGUCUGCCGUGAAAGUCCGGGGGCUCAACUCCGGAUCUGCGGUGGGUACGGGCAGACUAGAGUGAUGUAGGGGAGACUGGAAUUCCUGGUGUAGCGGUGGAAUGCGUAGAGAUCCGGAAGAACACCGGUGGCGAAGGCGGUUAGCUGGGCAGUUGCUGACACUGAGGCGCGACAGCGUGGGGAGCAAACAGG